rnacentral:rRNA from 1 species
GUGCCAGCCGCCGCGGUAAAACGUAGGAGGCAAGCGUUAUCCGGAGUUACUGGGCGUAAAGCGCGUGUAGGUGGUUUAACAAGUCCGGCGUGAAAGCUCCCAGGCUAAACCGGGAGAGGACGAAGGAAACUGUUAGACUCGAGUUCGGUAGAGGGCAGUGGAAUUCCGGGUGUAGUGGUGAAAUGCGUAGAGAUCCGGAGGAACACCAGCGGCGAAGGCGGCUGCCUGGGCCUGAACUGACACUGAGACGCGAAAGCGUGGGGAGCGAACGGGAUUAGAAACCCCGGUAGUCC